rnacentral:lncRNA from 1 species
GCAUGCUAGAUUUAGUGAUAAAUGGUCAGAAUAGUAUAUCAGCAUGACAAACUCCAUGGAUGGCACCCUCCCAGUUUCUGCAUUGAUUGUCACCGUUGCUUAACCCCCGUCUAUGUUAAUGCCUUCUGCAAAACCUUGACAUUACCACUGUUGUUUCUGCAGAAAUGAAAGAAAAGAAAAAAAACACUGUUUUAGAAAUUAAUUGAUAGUACAAUUGUCUCUAAAUCUUGCCGGUGAUUUGUGAAGAUUCAUGUAAAAACCACUUGUGGAGAAUAGGCUUUCAGCUUGUUUGGCUAAUCUUGGAAGUUACUAUUCUCAAAAUGUAUGUAGAAACAAAAAUUAACUUUUAAGUGUUGCCAAACAUGCUCUAUAUAUUGACACUCGAUACUCCACACCAUUAGAACUACAAGGAAAAGGAGGAC